AAGGAAUAUUGGUCAAUGGGCGGAAGCCUGAACCAGCCACGCCGCGUGCAGGAAGAAGGCCCUACGGGUUGUAAACUGCUUUUAUACGGGAAGAACCGCCCUCCUGCGGGGGGGUAUGACGGUACCGUAGGAAUAAGCAUCGGCUAACUCCGUGCCAGCAACCGCGGUAAUACGGAGGAUGCAAGCGUUAUCCGGAUUCAUUGGGUUUAAAGGGUGCGUAGGUGGGUCCAUAAGUCAGUGGUGAAAUCCGGCAGCUCAACUGUCGCACUGCCUCUGAUACUGUGGGUCUUGAGUUAAGUUGAAGCAGGCUGAAUAUGACAUGUAGCGGUGAAAUGCAUAGAUAUGUCAUAGAACACCGAUAGCGAAGGCAGCCUGCUAAACUUACACUGACACUGAUGCACGAAAGCGUGGGUAGCGAAC
rnacentral:rRNA from 1 species